GGGUUUGUGGCGCAAUGGAUAACGCGCCUGACUACGGAUCAGGAGAUUCCAGGUUCGACUCCUGGCCGCCAUUCA
rnacentral:tRNA from 1 species